rnacentral:lncRNA from 1 species
AAAACAAAAAACAAAACUCAUUUCCAACCCUGAACUAUGUUAGUAGUUUUCUACUGGUUAUUUAAAAAAUUAUCAAAGUGUAUUUUUUAGCUUGUAGAAUCAUAAAUAGCCGACAGAAAUUGCACACAAAUAUAUAAUAAGGUAUGACUUGUGUACUAAUUUAUUGCUAAAUCUUCUACCUUGUGGGGAAGUGGGGAUUCUCAUACACUGCUACUGAAAGGUAAAUUUCUGGAGUGUGAUUUGGCAACAUAUAGAAAAGCCCCCAAAUAUGUAUAGUUUUUAACACAUAAAUUGUCAUUCCAGGAAUUUCUCCGAAAGAAAUAACAAUGGAGGGGCACCUGGCUGUCUCAGUCAGUAGAAUGUGUGACUCUUGAUCUCAGGGUCUUGAGUUCAAGCCCCAUAUUGGGUGUAGAGAUUACUUAAAAGAUAAAAAAUCUUAAAAACAUAUAUUUAAAAAAAAGAAAUAACAGCAGCUAUGGAUAAAGCUUUCACUACAAAUAUAGUCAAAUGAACAUAUAUGAAUGUAAAGUAAAAAAAUAACGAUAUAAAUAUAUAUGAAAAUGGUUACAAAUUAUGCUUCUUCCAUACAGUGAAAUGAUGUUUUAUGACAAAACUCGUUGACAGGUUUGGAGAUCUGACUUCACAGGGAACCUGUGUCCCCAAAUCAGGCCAAACCUGGGAGAGCUAGAUAGGGCCCAAAUUUUUCCUUGCCCAAUAAACAAAAGAAGAAAUAUCUACAUGGUGAAUCUGGGCCAAGUUCUAGUAUAAAUCAAGAAGCAUAAUUUCCCUUAUCCCUGGUGGGACAUAGUUGUGGUGAAAGACCUUGGGCCGUUAACAGGUCUUGAAAACUCCAGAACAUCACAGGCAACCUGCCGAAGUUUCCUGAGGGAGAAGCCAGACCGGGAGAGACUUUGUCGUCAUGAUUCCUACAAGGACCAACAAUUGAGAACCUGGCAGUAUUUGCACAUAUUGUAGGAACGAAAAAGAAAGGAGCAAAUGGACACAAUCACCUCCAAAAAGUGAUAACAUUCAAUAAUAAGGGCUUGGAAUUUUUCUACCCAGCUAAGAAGGCAACAACCCCAAGAUCCCUCCAUGGAAAUGGCGCUGAGCGUAUGAUCCUGCAGACAUAUUGCCUCCAAGGGAAUACCUGCCUGAGAAGGACCAGAAGGAGAAAGUGGAGCCCAAUACAGAAGGAGUGGGGACCUAACGAUAUACUUUCUGGUGUCUCUCAGGGUCUCAGGUAGGCCAGCCUCUCGACAUCAAGUUAUUUGAGCUAGUAAAUUCCCUUUUUGCUUAAGCCAGAUUUUUUAAAAUUUUGCCUAGAAAAGGACUAGCAUAAAUUACAUCUCCACUAUUAAAGUGUAUCUUCCAGAAAAAUACCUCGCAUUAGGCCCAUUUCAUAAUCACAG